rnacentral:rRNA from 1 species
AUUGAACGCUGGCGGCAGGCCUAACACAUGCAAGUCGAACGGUAACAGGAAGCAGCUUGCUGCUUUGCUGGCGAGUGGCGGACGGGUGAGUAAUGUCUGGGAAACUGCCUGAUGGAGGGGGAUAACUACUGGAAACGGUAGCUAAUACCGCAUAACGUCGCAAGACCAAAGAGGGGGACCUUCGGGCCUCUUGCCAUCGGAUGUGCCCAGAUGGGAUUAGCUAGUAGGUGGGGUAACGGCUCACCUAGGCGACGAUCCCUAGCUGGUCUGAGAGGAUGACCAGCCACACUGGAACUGAGACACGGUCCAGACUCCUACGGGAGGCAGCAGUGGGGAAUAUUGCACAAUGGGCGCAAGCCUGAUGCAGCCAUGCCGCGUGUAUGAAGAAGGCCUUCGGGUUGUAAAGUACUUUCAGCGGGGAGGAAGGGAGUAAAGUUAAUACCUUUGCUCAUUGACGUUACCCGCAGAAGAAGCACCGGCUAACUCCGUG